rnacentral:rRNA from 1 species
CAGUAGCCGCGGGAAUACGGAGGGUGCAAGCGUUAAUCGGAAUUACUGGGCGUAAAGCGUGCGUAGGCGGUUCGUUAAGUCUGUUGUGAAAGCCCCGGGCUCAACCUGGGAAUGGCAAUGGAUACUGGCGAGCUAGAGUGUGUCAGAGGAUGGUGGAAUUCCCGGUGUAGCGGUGAAAUGCGUAGAGAUCGGGAGGAACAUCAGUGGCGAAGGCGGCCAUCCGGGACAACACUGACGCUGAAGCACGAAAGCGUGGGGAGCAAACAGGAUUAGAUACCCCAGUAGUCCCUGUCCUUAUACA